CCCACAUUCCCACUUUCCACCUUUCAAACACACUCCUCUCUUCAUUUCAAAAACCCUACCCUUCUCUUUCUCUCUCUCCUUUUAAUCCUCAUUUCAGAAAUUCCUACCUCUUUCACAAUCUCUCUUCUCUGUACUCCUUUCCUAUCAAAACACAGAGCAAGAUCCCAUGGAAGAACCAUCCAAUCUUCCAAAAAGGGGAGUACCAGCACCGUCGAUUGGUUCUUCCGUCAUUCCGAUCGUGAACCGGCUCCAGGACAUCUUCGCCCCGCUCGGGGAAGCCGCGGCGGAGUUCAAGCUGCCGCAGGUAGCAGUUGUUGGGGGCCAGAGCAGUGGGAAGUCGAGUGUGCUCGAGGCGCUGGUCGGGCGGGACUUCCUCCCGCGUGGAACGGAUAUCUGCACCCGCCGCCCGUUGGUUCUGCAGCUGGUACAUUGCCCGAGUGGAUUGGAUGGCUCGGAUGGGGCGGAAUGGGGGGAGUUCCGGCACUUGCCCAACAAGAGGUUCUACGAUUUCGAGGAAAUCCGCCGAGAAAUUCAGGCUGAGACUGAUAGGGAAGCAGGACUAAACAAAGGUGUAUCUGAUAAACAGAUUCGCCUAGCAAUUUACUCCCCCAAUGUCCUUACUAUGACUCUUGUCGAUUUACCUGGAAUUACAAAGGUUCCAGUUGGUGAUCAGCCUAAUGACAUAGAGGCAAGGAUUAGGACAAUGAUACACUCCUACAUCAAGUGUGAAACGUGUAUUAUAUUGGCUGUUACACCAGCAAAUUCUGAUUUAGCAAACUCGGAUGCACUUCAGAUGGCAAGACUUGCUGACCGUGAUGGUUCGCGGACUAUUGGUGUAAUAACAAAGGUGGAUAUUAUGGACAAGGGGACUAAUGCUUGCAAUUUUUUGCUUGGUAACGUGAUUCCUCUACGGCUUGGUUACAUUGGUGUUGUGAAUCGCAGUCAGGAGGAUAUCACAAGAAACCGGAGCAUUGCCGAAGCACUUGCCCGUGAAGAGGAAUUCUUCCGAAAAAACCCUGUCUAUCAUGGUCUGUCUGAUCGCUGUGGAAUUCCUCAAUUAGCAAAGAAGUUGAAUCAGAUUCUAGUACAACACGUUAGAGCAGUUCUUCCAUCACUGAAAGCUCAGAUAAAUGCUCAAAUGAUUGCUGUUGGGAAGGAGCUGCGAAACUAUGGAGAAGUCAUGGAGACAAAAGCUGAACAAGGAGCAUUUCUGUUGAACAUUCUGAAAAAAUACUGUGAAGCUUUUUCAUCUAUGGUGGAGGGGAAAAAUCAGGAGAUGCCUACCAAUGAGUUGUCAGGAGGAGCUAGGAUCCUAUACAUUUUUCAGUCAAUUUUUGUGAAGAGCUUGGAGGAAGUCGAUCCUUGUGAUGAUUUGACUGAUGAAGACGUUCGAACAGCUAUCCAAAAUGCCACUGGCCCUAAAAAUGCUUUAUUUGUGCCGGAGGUACCAUUUGAAGUUUUGAUCAGAAGACAGAUUGCUCGUCUCCUAGACCCAAGUCUUCAAUGUUUACAUUUUAUACAUGAUGAAUUAAUAAAGGUAAGCCAUGCUUGUGAGGAUAUUGAACUGCAACGGUUUCCAGUCCUGAGAAGGCGUUUGGAGGAAGUCAUGGGAAAAUUUUUACGUGAUGGCGUAAAACCUGCUGAUAGAAUUAUACGGAACAUUAUUGGAAUGGAGAUGGAUUAUAUAAAUACAUCACAUCCAAAUUUUAUCUGUGGAAGCAAAGCAGUGGAGCUCGUGCUUCAGCAGUUGAGAUCUUCGAAGUCAAGUACAACGGCCUCUUCGGCAAAGCUGAAGGAUUGUACAGAUUCUGAAAAAUUGAAUAUGUCAGAAAGGGGCCAGAAAUCUCGUGCAAUUCUUGCUAGAUCUGUUGCAAAUGGUGUUGCUCAAGAUCAGGGCAUUCCACCUCAAAUAAAUAAUGAUAACGCUAGUUCAGCUGGUAAGUCAUUAGGAGGGUCUUGGAGCUUUUCAUCAAUAUUUGGAGGUAAUAACUCAACGAGCAAAUUGAAUGGCGACUUUAUUCAUGAUAUCGAGCAUACACUCUCUACAAUCCAAUUGAAAGAGCCCCCAUCCAUCUUAAGGCCAUCGGAAGUGCAGACAGAGCAAGAAACUGUUGAAGUAGAAGUGACUAAGUUGCUUUUGCAAUCUUAUUAUGACAUUGUUAGAAAGAAUAUUCAGGACAUGGUCCCGAAAGCAAUCAUGCACUUUCUGGUUAAUCAUGCAAAGAGGGACCUCCUUAUUACCUUUAUACAGAAAUUGUACAGGUCAUCAGUGAAAUACAUAACAAAGCAUCAUGCAAGCUUGUGCAUGCACACUAAUGUCGAUUCAUUCCCGAAAGAUGGAGCUUUGCUAAGCCCACAUGCAUAUGCUAUAAAGCUCAUGUACACAGUACACCCCACUUAUGUCAGUGUAGCAUUGAUCCAUUGGUCACAUGGGCCACAGUUUGCAAAACAAUUGUAUGGCUCUGAAAAAAUUAGUUGAGAUUUUCUAACCCAUCCACCUGUUUCCAAUACUGGGGCCUGCAUGCUGAUUGGACAGAUUUUAUUUCUGGGAAAACAUGUAAAAGGUCAGAUCAACCUGAUGGAUGGAUUAGAUCUCGCACCUAUGUGCCAUGCGGGCACAUGUGUGGAGUGUACACGAGUUUUAUUGCACGUGUGCACGCUUAGCAAAGCUCUGAACAUUGUGCUGUACUCUGAUAUCUGGGAGGAAAUUUGUGGAGUUUCACAUCAUUGUUACAGGAAUAGUAUCCUCUGCUUCAAAGGCUUUGCUUGGGAUGCAAGGCAUGGUUGUUACCAAAUAAUGCUUCUACUGUUUUGCAUUGCUUUUUGAGAGAACCUCUUCGAAGAAAUGCUGCAAGAGCAGGAGGACGUUGCAACCAACAGGAAACGUGCUUUAGAAAUGUUCCAUGUUCUGCAACAAGCUACUUGG